UUUAACUGAAGAGUUUGAUCAUGGCUCAGAUUGAACGCUGGCGGCAGGCCUAACACAUGCAAGUCGAGCGGAAGAAGGGAGCUUGCUCCCGGAUUUAGCGGCGGACGGGUGAGUAACACCUGGGAAUCUGCCUGAUAGUGGGGG
rnacentral:rRNA from 1 species